rnacentral:misc_RNA from 1 species
AUAGGGAUUUUUGUUCCUUAAAGUUCAUUCUUUUGUUGUAUAAGAAUUUGGGGUUGUGUGGGAUUUCCCUUUUUUUUAUUUUGGGUAUUUGCUGAUUUUCCAAUCUGGGGUUUUGUUUGUUUUAGUGGUGGUUUGAUAUAGGUUUUUUUGUUGUUAGAGAAAACUUCAGUAUAGUAGUUGUGUUUGUAAAGAUUUAGUCUUUUUGUUCAAGUUGUUGUUCUGGUUUGUUAGUAUUGAAGUUUGUCAUUAGCAAUUGUUGUCUCCCAAAGAGAAGGAAUUGUGAGAUAGAAGAUAUUGUUUGGUGUUAUAUUGGCUGUCGAUGGAGAAUCAUCAUCCUUCGACUCGUUUGUCCAUGGAUUCGAGUGCAUCUUCUUCACAUGAUGAGUUAGACCUUGAGAUGAAUAGACAAGUAGUCAUAACAUGUCCACCUGAUAUUAAUUUGCCUUUAUCAGCUGAGCGUAGCCCUCCUUCGCAGCCAUGGAACUCGGAACAUUGUGAUAUUCUUGAUGUCGGGCUUGGUACACAGGUUUAUGAGACUGAAAGUUCUAUUAGUGCGUCUAAAGUUGGAAGGAAAUGUGCGAAACGUUUGGAUAGUAUUUGGGGUGCUUGGGUUUUCUUUAGCUUUUAUUUUAGGCCUGUGUUAAAUGAGAAAUCGAAGGCAAAGAUGGUAAGGGAUAGUAAUGGAUAUUCCGGGUUUGAUAAAUCUGAUCUCCAGCUUGAUCUAUUCAUGGUUCAACAUGACAUGGAGAACCUGUAUAUGUGGAUUUUCAAGGAAA